rnacentral:rRNA from 1 species
GACGAACGCUGGCGGCGUGCUUAACACAUGCAAGUCGAACGGAAAGGCCCUGCUUUUGUGGGGUGCUCGAGUGGCGAACGGGUGAGUAACACGUGAGUAACCUGCCCUUGACUUUGGGAUAACUUCAGGAAACUGGGGCUAAUACCGGAUAGGAGCUCCUGCUGCAUGGUGGGGGUUGGAAAGUUUCGGCGGUUGGGGCUGGACUCGCGGCUUAUCAGCUUGUUGGUGGGGUAGUGGCUUACCAAGGCUUUGACGGGUAGCCGGCCUGAGAGGGUGACCGGCCACAUUGGGACUGAGAUACGGCCCAGACUCCUACGGGAGGCAGCAGUGGGGAAUAUUGCACAAUUGGCGGAAGCCUGAUGCAGCAACGCCGCGUGCGGGAUGACGGCCUUCGGGUUGUAAACCGCUUUCGCCUGUGACGAAGCGUGAGUGACGGUAAUGGGUAAAGAAGCACCGGCUAACUACGUG